UGGGCGGACAGUGUCGCCCUUGUUUCCGCGAGGGCAGAUAAGCUCCCCAGAGGGUCCCGGCCUCUGGUCUCUGACUCUGUCCCACUGUGCAGACAGCCAGGCUGACUGGACCUGCUCUGGCUCGCGACCCCCACGCCCUGCAAGCCACCUGCUGACCGGGCGGGGCGCGGGCUCCAGGGACCGGAACCAACCCGGGCGCAGCGGUGGGGUGAGGCUGGCGUUCCCGCCUACUGCCGCUCCCUGGGGACCCGGGUGCCCAACGGCUAGGGUGGGGCGAGGUCACCCGGCCUCCCCCUCUCUGUGCAGUCCGCAGCCAGGCCGGCGCCCGGCAAGGGAGAAGGCAGGGCAGAGCCCAGCUUGCUGCAGUCCCAGCCCGGGAAAGACCCAGCAGGCCAGGUCUCACGUGUUUCAGGGGGACCUUGAACUCCUGAUCCACACCUUCCUCUACCUCCUGUGUGCUGGGAUCACAGGAGAGUGUCACCACAUCUGGUUUAUGUGGUGCUGAGAGUCACACUCCGGGGUGUGCAUGCUAGGAAAGUGCUUUAGAAGGUGAGUCCAUCUCCAGCCUGGAGCCCCUUCUGACUUCCAUCAGAGCCAACCAAGCUCCGAAGAAGCAGAGAAACACCGAGGCAAGUCAGGCAAAGAACCCAUGUAUGGCCACUGUCACACUGUGAGCGACUCCAGGGCACUUUCUGCUGGAGGGAACAGCAGGCGGUGCUGGUGCGGAGCCAGGUCCUACAGACUACUUAAUGGAGUUUUCUCCUUCCUGAGGCCAGGCACUGAGGUUGGACAUAGCUGACACAGAAGGGAGACAAAAAGGAGAGGGGGCAGGAGAAGAUAGGUCGGGAAGAGAAGAUAGAGGCCAUUUUGAAGCUCGAGCACAGAGCCCUGGUCCCAGGGGCAAUACAUGUCAAACGGAGGCAGAGAUGAACAGAACAGUUCCUGCUUCAUAGCAGUUAAACAGGUGAGACACAGUGAUCAAACCGAAGAAAGAGAGCAGCAGCCGGAGUGAGACAGAAGUAGAGUUGGGCAUCUACUGCUUGAGUGAACAAGGGGACUGGGCAAACAAUCAGGACGGUCUCUGCCAGUCCAGGACGCUGAGCACUGAGGGACGGUGAACAAGCAGGCCUGCAGGCUUUUCUGGUGACUAAGAAUAUGCAGUGUCGGGCUGGACUGCUCAGCAGAGCCUGGAAGGUACAACUCUGUGUUCUGGGCAGGUCUA